rnacentral:lncRNA from 1 species
GGCCUUUGUUCUCCUGAUGGAGGGGGUCGGGCGCGGGAUCUACUGGAGGAUCCUGGAUUCGUUUACCCAAGAGGGAACAGUUUUGAGACCCCCCGGAUUCACUGCGGAGUGGCCGCAGAGGCCGGGGUCGGCCUUUGCGCCGUGGCUUCGGGUGUUGUGGAGGCGCACAGAGGCACGUUAGUUGAUUUCCAGUGGUUUUUGGUUUCGGGGGUCUUAGGAAGGUGUGGCUCAUUUGAGCAGGAUGGAGAGAGAGGCUGUGACAAGGGUCUCUCCUCAGGGAUGACAUCAUCCGUCCACCUCCUUGUCUUCAAGGACCACCUCCUCUCCAUGCUGAGCUGCUGCCAAGGGGCCUGCUGCCCAUCUACACCUCACGAGGGCACUAGGAGCACGGUUUCCUGGAUCCCACCAACAUACAAAGCAGCCACUCACUGACCCCCAGGACCAGGAUGGCAAAGGAUGAAGAGGACCGGAACUGACCAGCCAGCUGUCCCUCUUACCUAAAGACUUAAACCAAUGCCCUAGUGAGGGGGCAUUGGGCAUUAAGCCCUGACCUUUGCUAUGCUCAUACUUUGACUCUAUGAGUACUUUCCUAUAAGUCUUUGCUUGUGUUCACCUGCUAGCAAACUGGAGUGUUUCCCUCCCCAAGGGGGUGUCAGUCUUUGUCGACUGACUCUGUCAUCACCCUUAUGAUGUCCUGAAUGGAAGGAUCCCUUUGGGAAAUUCUCAGGAGGGGGACCUGGGCCAAGGGCUUGGCCAGCAUCCUGCUGGCAACUCCAAGGCCCUGGGUGGGCUUCUGGAAUGAGCAUGCUACUGAAUCACCAAAGGCACGCCCGACCUCUCUGAAGAUCUUCCUAUCCUUUUCUGGGGGAAUGGGGUCGAUGAGAGCAACCUCCUAGGGUUGUUGUGAGAAUUAAAUGAGAUAAAAGAGGCCUCAGGCAGGAUCUGGCAUAGAGGAGGUGAUCAGCAAAUGUUUGUUGAAAAGGUUUGACAGGUCAGUCCCUUCCCACCCCUCUUGCUUGUCUUACUUGUCUUAUUUAUUCUCCAACAGCACUCCAGGCAGCCCUUGUCCACGGGCUCUCCUUGCAUCAGGUAGGGGCUUUGCAGAGACCAUCGACGGGCUGACUUGAGGCUAAUCUCGGGCCUUGUCGAAGGAAGAGGCUGCAGACGUUAAUGAGGCACGUGGGCCGUGGCCCGGCUGGGUCGGCUGAAGAACUGCGGAUGGAAGCUGCGGAAGAGGCCCUGAUGGGGCCCACCAUCCCGGACCCAAGUCUUCUUCCUGGCGGGCCUCUCGUCUCCUUCCUGGUUUGGGCGGAAGCCAUCACCUGGAUGCCUACGUGGGAAGGGACCUCGAAUGUGGGACCCCAGCCCCUCUCCAGCUCGAAAUCCCACGGGGACACCCUGCACCUAUUCCCACGGGACAGGCUGGACCCAGAGACUCUGGACCCGGGGCCUCCCCUUGAGUAGAGACCCGCCCUCUGACUGAUGGACGCCGCUGACCUGGGGUCAGACCCGUGGGCUGGACCCCUGCCCACCCCGCAGGAACCCUGAGGCCUAGGGGAGCUGUUGAGCCUUCAGUGUCUGCAUGUGGGAAGUGGGCUCCUUCACCUACCUCACAGGGCUGUUGUGAGGGGCGCUGUGAUGCGGUUCCAAAGCACAGGGCUUGGCGCACCCCACUGUGCUCUCAAUAAAUGUGUUUCCUGUCUUAACAAAAACUGAUGGAUGUGCUACUAAUA